rnacentral:rRNA from 1 species
UACGUAGGUAGCAAGCGUUGUUCGGAAUUACUGGGCGUAAAGAGUGUGUAGGCGGUGUUCUAAGUCUGUUGUGAAAUCUCCCGGCUUAACUGGGAGGGUGCGGCGGAAACUGGAAUGCUAGAGGAUGGGAGAGGUAAGCGGAAUUCCUGGUGUAGCGGUGAAAUGCGUAGAUAUCAGGAGGAACACCUGUGGUGUAGACAGCUUACUGGACCAUUUCUGACGCUGAGACACGAAAGCGUGGGUAGCAAACAGG